rnacentral:rRNA from 1 species
AUUGAACGCUGGCGGCAGGCCUAACACAUGCAAGUCGAACGCGUGGCGGACGGGUGAGUAAUGUCUGGGAAACUGCCUGAUGGAGGGGGAUAACUACUGGAAACGGUAGCUAAUACUGCAUACCAUCAGAUGUGCCCAGAUGGGAUUAGCUGGUUGGUGGGGUAACGGCUCACCAAGGGGACGAUCCCCAGCUGGUCUGCGAGGAUGACCGGCCACACUGGAACGGAGACACGGUCCAGACUCCUACGGGAGGCAGCAGUGGGGAAUAUUGCACAAUGGGCGCAAUCCUGAUACAGCAAUGCCGCGUGUAUGAAGCAGGCCUUCGGGUUGUAAAGUACUUUCAGCGGGGAGGCGUUACCCGCAGAGGAAGCAACGGCUAACUCCGUGCCAGCAGCCGCGGUAAUUC